rnacentral:rRNA from 1 species
UGGGCAACCUGCCCCUCUCUCUGGGAUAACCCCGGGAAACCGGAGCUAAUACCGGAUACUCCGGCUGGAUCGCAUGGUCCGGCCGGGAAAGGUCCGCCGGAGAGGGAUGGGCCCGCGGCCUAUCAGCUUGUUGGUGGGGUCAUGGCUCACCAAGGCGACGACGGGUAGCUGGUCUGAGAGGAUGGCCAGCCACAUUGGGACUGAGACACGGCCCAGACUCCGUACGGGAGGCA